CGAACUCCUUUUGACCGGAGUUGAAAAUCGAGUCAGACGCUUAAUUAACCGACUGAGCCACCCGGACGCCCCAGGCAGGGUCUUUUUCAGGGCAGGGGUUUUAAAUUUUGACCAAGUCCAAUUUCCCAAAUGUUUCUUUUGGAAAUUGUGCUUUUGGUGUCCUGUCUAAGAGCCCUUUGCCUUAGGCUUAGCUCGGCUGUAUCCUUUGGCCUUUCAAGGGUUGCCAUAAGGCACAGACAUUCAGUUACUUGAUACUUCUGCUGGAAAAAUCCGGUGGGUGGAUGGCCCGUUUCCUCAGUCGGGAUCCCGCCUGUGAAAUUCCAGCGGAAGGAUGGCUUCCGGAGCAGCGUUCCUCAAACUUUAUCGUGCAUGUGAGUCACCUGGGAUCUUCUUCCCAUGCAGAUUCUGAUUGGGUAGGUCUGGGAUCAGUUUGAGGUUGUUCAUUGCUAACCAGCUUGCCUUUGGAGCUGAUGCUUUCAGUAAUAUAAUCAUAGGAAUCAGUGUCCUUCUGAUGCCUGAUCCCAGGAACUACAGAACAAACCACGCCUUUCUUUUCGCCAGGAAACGAAUGACAUAGAUUUGAAGGAUGCGGAACGGACAGGGCGACCUACGUUGGGCAUCUGUGUUCUCACUUCCUACUUUGAUUUCAGCAAACUGAUUCUUCUGUGCAUUACCAAGAUCUUUCCAGAAACAAGAUGAGCUGUAAGCAAAAAAAAAAAAAAAAAAAAAAAAAAAGACGAGGAAGUUUGAAAGGGAGGCUUUCUUUGCCCUUUACGCAGUGCACAUCCUGGGUCUACGUUUCUGUUCAGGAAGUGGGUUUUCUUUUUUUUUUUUUUCCAUGUCUGCUUUUGAUUACAUCUCUCUGUAAAUGUGUUUUUAAGUCAUUUUGUGCCUAUGUGAAUGUUCUGCUUCUCCCAGCUAGACGAUAAGCUUUUGUUAGGAUGAGGGCUGUGUCUUUUUCAUUUUUUUUUUUUUUUAACACUCUCCCACUGAUCCUAGAAUGCUUGUCUACGCAGGGGUGGUGCUGGUGGUGAUGCGGGGGGCAGGGAGCGGGGUUCGACGUGGCCGUCUUGGAAACACCACGGCCUCCGGCUGAUGAGCAACACAUGUCUCCACUAGCUGAUAGGACUUCACCGUGAUCAGCUGUUCUGCAGUUUGUGGACCCCAAAGCUCCUUGCUUGGGGUGGUUAGGAUUGCGGGCCCGACAGACCAGUCCUCAGGGCCUCUGUGGACACAGGGGCAAAGAGAUUCAGUUCGAAGUCCUUUGAGGGGAGAUCUCCAACAUCGGGGAGGUUCUGGGGAACGUGAAAUGUGCUUCUUUGAGUCUCUUCCACCAGCAGAAGCAAGAGCUGUGGGGGUUAACAUCACGAUCCGAAAGGUUCGUGGAGGUUUUCUUGGAUUUACAGGGAACUUGACCCCGUGGCCGGCACUGUGGCCCGAUGCCCCAAGGAGACAGGGCUACGGCAUCCCAUAGACGUGAACCUCUGCAGGAUGGGGCCCAUCUGAGUGACAGCUGGUCUCCCUGGGGCCGGCACCCCCCGCCCCCUGGGGGGUUCCCAUCUGCACCAAGCCCGCUCCCUGGAAGUAAGAGCUUGGGUCACUUGGCCCACCGAGGGGAUGCCCCAUCCCUAAACUUUCUGAGGAACUUCUUAGGGAGUCGCACUCCUUAGGCCUUCCUCCCCUCUCUCCCUACCCACCACCCUGGCUUCGGGACGGUUGCAAUGGCUCUCUUACUGUUCUCCUUCUCGACGGUCUCACCGCCUUCCAGUACAUCCUCCAAAGGGCUGGGGGAGGGAUGCGUCCGAGGAGUGAAGCUGGCCGUGUCAAAUGUUCUCAGUCCUUCAGCGACCCCACGAUGGGAUCCAAACUCCCCGUCUUGACUUGCAAGGCGCUGGGGCUCCAAGCCCCCCACUGGAGUGACUGCUUCUGUUGCCUCGCCCACACAGUUUCCUCCAGGCUUCUGCGAGGUUCUCUGCGAGGGUGCUAAGCCUUCCUCUUCUCAUCUUCCCAUACUCCGCCCUCCCUCCCCCGCCUUGAUCUAGAUAUCCUUUCUCCUUGGCUUCCUAGGUGACUCAUUAUUAUUUUUAAGCCCGAACCUAACGCAUCUCCUCUAAAACUGUUUCCAGGAUUACCGCGGACCAGGUGCACACUUCCGUGCUUCCCCAGCAUCAAAUCUUGGCACCCACGGCACUGUCUUUGAUCAUCCGGCAACUUCUUGGUCUGUGCCGGUGACCAGGGUCCGUGGCCAUCCUGUGUGCACGUGACCCAACCAGUGCAGACGGAGAGCAAACUCCCUCUCUCUGUUUAGCCAGUAUACGUAUUCCUCGUCUCCCAGUCAUCUUGCCUCUUCCUAGUUGGACAGGCUCAUUAGAGCCAAGGCCAUCGGCUUGCUCCCCGGUUAGCUCGCCCUGAUGAAAAGUGCAUCACGACCGUCGCUUGAACUCUUAAUCCUGGACAAGAGCUUUGCAACCUAAUCCCAGACGCCAGCUCAAUCCAGCACUCGUCAUCGGGUAGCGCACGCAUGCCUUGAACCCACUGGGCACAGCAAACGCGCGAUUCCCCGUAAUCUGCCGCCUCUACUGGCCAAGCACUGGUCACGCGCACCAGGGGAGGCGCGUCAGGAAACGCUGAUUCGGGCGAUUUGGGGGACCGCGGGUCGCGGCCACCGCGUGAAAACAGUCACGUCUCUCUGGGUCCCGCAUGCUGUCUCCUUGGACGGGGCAGCUGAGCCUCAGGGAUGGCGUGAACCUCCCAACCAGCCCGAGGCCGACAGUCGCUCUCAACGCACGCUGAUGUUGAGAACCCGUGCCACAGUGGGGACCAGAGCUUCCCAAACUGCAGUGUGUGCGUGCACCUCCCCUGGGGACUUGUCCAAGACCAGAGUCGACUCCAGGAGGUCUGGGCCGAGGCGUGCGAUAAUAAUGCGUUUCUGGCAGAUUCCCAGGGACGUCCACACAGCUGGCCCAUGUGCGUGUGCAGCUGGAGGCAUAAAGGAUGGGGGCAGCCUGACCCUUACAAUGGAAAGGGUCCCCCCCACCCCCACCAAAAAAACAAAAACAAAAACAAAAACAAACAAAAACAAAAAAAAAAAACCCAAAACCAAAAAACCUUUAGCUGAGAGGAUUUUGAGAAAUGCUGAUUGCCAUCAGCCCUCCAGGAGACUCACUGCGCACAGUCACGGUAUAAAGGUCCUGAUAAGUCCCGCGCUAAGGAAAAGACCUGUUUAACUUUCCUCCAACCGUUCCUCAAAUGUAUGCAGCCACGAACCUUUGUUGUUGUUGUUGUUGUUGUUAAAAUAACGUUCACGCCCAAAGCAACAGCUUUUGAUGGUGCGUGGAAACACGGGUUUGAUUCAGGAGGAAUUGCCUGACCCUGGUGGGGGGAGAACAUUUCGAUCUCGGCAAGGCUGAUUUCCUGCUCUUUCCGAACGUGCCUUGCCCCCCUCCCUGCCUUCGUGUAUUUGCUCAGGCGGUCUCGCCCCGCUGGGAAUAGAUCCGUUUACUUUCUCGACGCUACAUGUUGGGUGAGCAUAAGUGGUCUGUGUGCAGAGAUCAGCCAGGUCCUUUGACAGGUGGCUGCAUCACUCAUCCAGCAGCAUCCUGGUCGGGGGUUCGUUGUGUGCAGGGGAGGGUGCUGAGGGUGUCACGCGCCUUGAUUGCAACAGGGAAGCGGCCCAGAAGCACUUGAACGUUCUUGCCCAUCAGGAAGCGCCCUUAAGCCGGAGACUUUCGGCAGCUUGUUAGAACUAAAAGGAGGGAUCAGUCUAGGGCCAUUAGAAAGGCGGUUUUUAAUCCGUUUUUCAUUAGAAAAACACUAUUCCUACAGAAUUAAUGGGCUUCUGUUUAAAUUGGUUGUAAUUUGAGGAUGAGAGCAUGGAAUACCAGAAAAUGAUCACAAGCCAAUGAAGAGCUGAAAUACCCACCUGUACGGAGGCUGCUUGCUUUUUUUUGUCUUUUUCUUUGCUCUGUAUCGAUUGGUAUUUAUGUUACAGGAAGCACAAUGUUUACUUGGUUUUGGAAGUGGAAUGCAGAUUUCGGUUUCUUCCUCGGAUUUUAUUAACUGCCUGGGAGCAAACCUCCCAGCGACCUUAUAACCCUGAGAAAAUGCAUGCGCCCCCUUGUGGUGGGGACGAACGCAGGGGCAAGACAUGUCACCUAACUGCCUCUCCUUCUCUCUGUCGCUAUCUUACCCAUUCCUCAAAGCCCCCCGCCAAGUCCUGACUCUGUGGGGACGUCUCCAGGACAACUCCUAGCUCUCCCUCCAGGGAUCUCGUAGUUAAAUAGCUUGCGUCGCACAGGUGAACCCCUGUUUCAAAACAUGUCCUGCGUGUCAGUCUUGCCUUCCCUCAUCGACGGGAGCUCCUCCAGGGGCAGAGUUUCUCCUCUUAUUUGCUUUUUUUUAAGACUGCACAAAUCAGGGGCGGCUGGGUGGCUCCGUCGGUGAA